rnacentral:rRNA from 1 species
AUACGGAGGAUCCGAGCGUUAUCCGGAUUUAUUGGGUUUAAAGGGUGCGCAGGCGGCCAUUUAAGUCAGCGGUUAAAUCGUGGGGCUCAACCCCAUUCUGCCGUUGAUACUGGGUGGCUUGAUUGCGGUCGAGGUUGGCGGAAUUCGUUGUGUAGCGGUGAAAUGCAUAGAUAUGACGAAGAACACCGAUUGCGUAGGCAGCUGACCAGACCGCAAAUGACGCUCAUGCACGAAAGUGCGGGGAUCGAACAGGAUUAGAUACCCUGGUAGUCCGCACAGUAAACGAUGAAUACUUGUUUUCGGCGAUAUAAUGUCGGAGGCAAAGCGAAAGCGAUAAGUAUUCCUCCUGGGGAGUACGCCGGCAACGGUGAAACUCAAAGGAAUUGACGUGG